rnacentral:tRNA from 1 species
GAAGUAGCAGUGGUAGAGCGUUUGCACUGGAAUUGCAAAGUUCAUGGGUUUGAAUCCCGUUGGAGCCU